AAAAGACUCUCGGCAACGGAUAUCUCGGCUCUUGCAUCGAUGAAGAACGUAGCGAAAUGCGAUACUUGGUGUGAAUUGCAGAAUCCCGUGAACCAUCGAGUCUUUGAACGCAAGUUGCGCCCGAAGCCAUUAGGCCGAGGGCACGCCUGCCUGGGUGU
rnacentral:rRNA from 8 species